UGGACCUCUAGAUGAUACUGAAGGCAGCCAUUUCUUCAGCUGUCACUGCACGUAUUAAGGAAUGUGACAGAUAUUCUCUAUGUUAUAGCAUUAAAAAUUCAUAUAAACUCUCACGAUUGGCAGUAAAUGUUGACCCCUUCCCCACACCCUGGGAAAGAAAACAUAUCUUUGUAAGAUAACAGCUAUAAUACUCAUCUGACUCUAUUGCCAC